CACGUAGGAGGCGAGCGUUGUCCGGAAUCAUUGGGCGUAAAGAGCGCGCAGGCGGCUUGGCAAGUCGGGUGUGAAAUCCCGGGGCUCAACCCCGUGACUGCAUCCGAUACUGUCAGGCUAGAGGUAGGUAGGGGAGAUCGGAAUUCCUGGUGUAGCGGUGAAAUGCGUAGAUAUCGGAAGGAACACCAGUGGCGAAAGCGGCUUCCUGGUCCGACACCGACGUCAGGCACGAAAGCGUGGGGAGCAAACAGG
rnacentral:rRNA from 1 species